CAGUAGCCGCGGGAAUACGUAGGUGGCAAGCGUUGUCCGGAUUUAUUGGGCGUAAAGCGAGCGCAGGCGGUCAAUUAAGUCUGAUGUGAAAGCCCCCGGCUCAACCGGGGAGGGUCAUUGGAAACUGGUUGACUUGAGUGCAGAAGAGGAGAGUGGAAUUCCAUGUGUAGCGGUGAAAUGCGUAGAUAUAUGGAGGAACACCAGUGGCGAAGGCGACUCUCUGGUCUGUAACUGACGCUGAGGCUCGAAAGCGUGGGUAGCAAACAGGAUUAGAUACCCCCGUAGUCCCUGUCUCUUAUAC
rnacentral:rRNA from 1 species